UACGGGGGGGGCAAGCGUUGUUCGGAAUUACUGGGCGUAAAGGGCUCGUAGGCGGCCAACUAAGUCAGACGUGAAAUCCCUCGGCUUAACCGGGGAACUGCGUCUGAUACUGGAUGGCUAGAGGUUGGGAGAGGGAUGCGGAAUUCCAGGUGUAGCGGUGAAAUGCGUAGAUAUCUGGAGGAACACCGGUGGCGAAGGCGGCAUCCUGGCCUGUUCUUGACGCUGAGGCGCGAAAGCUAGGGUAGCAAACGGGG
rnacentral:rRNA from 1 species